GUGAUAUUUUUCUUCAGAGUGGGGCUAUGCUUCGUCCUUGCAAGGCUAACACGGUGCUGUAUAGGUCAGAGAGAGAAGAGAAUUUGAAAUAAGUUAAUAUUUCAGGACUUUGGUUGCAUGACCUGGAUAUUUCUUAGCAAGACUUCAAAGAAAGGUCCUCUGUAACCAGUGGCAACAGGAGAUCCAGGAAUGACUAAAUCCUUGGAACGUCUCCUCACUUAUGCAAGCCUGCAAAUGGGAAGCAUCUACGUGGGCUCACAUGUAGAGCCAGAGAAAUGUGAGACCGGAAGGGCACUGGAUCGCCUCAUCCUUUCUCUGCACCAAUGCAGGAUCAAGGGUCCUUGGACCAUCUCUGACACAUGCUUGAAUCAUCCUUGGCUUCUCCAGCCUGCUCUAGUAUUCCUAACCGUGCUAUUCAAACAGGACUUUGGCUGUGCCUGAGCCUGCUUCCAGCAACAGCAAUCAAGCAGGCCUUUUGCUGUCAUUGCUGGCCCUGCAGCUGGGAGAUUUAUGGCUUGGGUGAAGAGUGAACGCAGAAGUUCUCCUGGCAACUCCAGCUGAUGGGUUUGUGCUAAAGAAGGAAAGAUCUAAGGUAAAUGUUUGAAAGGCCACUAUGGACCAAAGUCCACCUAGGUGAGUUCCUGUCCCUAGCAGUUGCCAAUAGCAAAUGCUUUGAGUGUGAAAAAUAGGAUUAGUACAGGAUGACCCUUCUCCCCGUCAGCUGGGUAUGGGUUCUUGCCUUUUGGGCUAUGGUAUUUAAAAUCCCCUGGCAGACCUCUCUUCCAUCUUGUCUAUCUUGUCUUCUUCCUUUUCUGUCCUCUAAAAUGAAUUUGAUGCUAAAAACGACAAAACACAUGGACCGUAAUGGCAGUGACUCAACCUGGCAUCAGAAGUGCUGGAGGUCGGCAUGGUCACAGCUU
ensembl:lncRNA